rnacentral:rRNA from 1 species
UACGUAGGGUGCGAGCGUUAAUCGGAAUUACUGGGCGUAAAGCGUGCGCAGGCGGUUUUGCAAGCCGGAUGUGAAAUCCCCGGGCUCAACCUGGGAAUGGCAUUCGGGACUGCAAGGCUGGAGUGCGGCAGAGGAGACUGGAAUUCCUGGUGUAGCAGUGAAAUGCGUAGAUAUCAGGAGGAAUACCCAGGGGGAAACCAGUCGACUGGGCAGCACCUGACGCUGAGGUGCGAGAGCGUGGGGAGCGAACCGG